UACGAAGGGUGCAAGCGUUACUCGGAAUUACUGGGCGUAAAGCGUGCGUAGGUGGUUUGUUAAGUCUGAUGUGAAAGCCCUGGGCUCAACCUGGGAAUUGCAUUGGAUACUGGCAGUCUAGAGUGCGGUAGAGGGUAGCGGAAUUCCCGGUGUAGCAGUGAAAUGCGUAGAUAUCGGGAGGAACAUCCGUGGCGAAGGCGGCUACCUGGACCAGCACUGACACUGAGGCACGAAAGCGUGGGGAUCAAACAGG
rnacentral:rRNA from 1 species